rnacentral:rRNA from 1 species
AUUGAACGCUGGCGGAAUGCUUUACACAUGCAAGUCGAACGGCAGCACGGACUUCGGUCUGGUGGCGAGUGGCGAACGGGUGAGUAAUACAUCGGAACGUGCCCAGUCGUGGGGGAUAACGUAGCGAAAGCUACGCUAAUACCGCAUACGAUCUACGGAUGAAAGCGGGGGAUCGCAAGACCUCGCGCGAUUGGAGCGGCCGAUGGCAGAUUAGGUAGUUGGUAGGGUAAAGGCCUACCAAGCCGACGAUCUGUAGCUGGUCUGAGAGGAUGAUCAGCCACACUGGGACUGAGACACGGCCCAGACUCCUACGGGAGGCAGCAGUGGGGAAUUUUGGACAAUGGGCGCAAGCCUGAUCCAGCCAUUCCGCGUGCAGGAUGAAGGCCUUCGGGUUGUAAGCUGCUUUUGUACAGAACGAAAAGGCUCUGGUUAAUACCUGGGGCUCAUGACGUUACCUACAGAAGAAGCACCGGCUAACUCUGUGCCAGCCGCCGCCGUAA